UACAUAGGGGGCAAGCGUUGUUCGGAAUUACUGGGCGUAAAGGGCGCGUAGGCGGCCUGUUAAGUCGAACGUGAAAUCCCCGUGCUCAACCCGGGAACUGCGUCCGAUACUGGCAGGCUUGAAUCCGGGAGAGGGAUGCGGAAUUCCUGGUGUAGCGGUGAAAUGCGCAGAUAUCAGGAGGAACACCGAUGGCGAAGGCAGGUCUCUGGGCAUUAACUGACGCUGAGGAGCGAAGGCAUGGGGAGCGAACAGG
rnacentral:rRNA from 1 species